AGCGAACGCUGGCGACAGGCCUAACACAUGCAAGUCGAACGGAUCCUUCGGGAUUAGUGGCGGACGGGUGAGUAACACGUGGGAACGUGCCCUUUGGUUCGGAACAACUCAGGGAAACUUGAGCUAAUACCGGAUGUGCCCUUCGGGGGAAAGAUUUAUCGCCAUUGGAGCGGCCCGCGUCUGAUUAGCUAGUUGGUGAGGUAAAGGCUCACCAAGGCGACGAUCAGUAGCUGGUCUGAGAGGAUGAUCAGCCACAUUGGGACUGAGACACGGCCCAAACUCCUACGGGGGGCAGCAGUGGGGAAUUUUGCGCAAUGGGCGAAAGCCUGACGCAGCCAUGCCGCGUGAAUGAUGAAGGUCUUAGGAUUGUAAAAUUCUUUCACCGGGGACGAUAAUGACGGUACCCGGAGAAGAAGCCCCGGCUAACUUCGUGCCAGCCGCCGCCGUAACAC
rnacentral:rRNA from 1 species